ACACCUCAACUCUCCACGGUUUUCCGUGGCGAGCUUGGACUUUGGAGGUUUGCUGGCCCCACAGGUCGGCUCCUCUUAAAUGAAUCAGCUUGCCAGUGUUUGGUGGCGUCACAGGUGUGAUAAAUGUCUACGCUUGCCGCCGUCUGCCAUGCAACCUUCAGCAAUGGAGGUUCGCUGGAGCUUAAAAACGUCUCUCCUCAGCGAAGACAGCUUUUUUAAC
rnacentral:misc_RNA from 1 species